CAGCAGUCGCCGCGGGAAUACAGAGGGUGCGAGCGUUAAUCGGAUUUACUGGGCGUAAAGCGUGCGUAGGCGGCUAAUUGAGUCGGAUGUGAAAUCCCCGAGCUUAACUUGGGAAUUGCAUUCGAUACUGGUUAGCUAGAGUGUGGGAGAGGAUGGUAGAAUUCCAGGUGUAGCGGUGAAAUGCGUAGAGAUCUGGAGGAAUACCGAUGGCGAAGGCAGCCAUCUGGCCUAACACUGACGCUGAGGUACGAAAGCAUGGGGAGCAAACAGGAUUAGAUACCCCCGUAGUCCCUGUCUCUUAUAU
rnacentral:rRNA from 1 species